AAGUCUUAAAAGUUGCCAAGUUUGGAGACCUCUGGCCUUGACAGUGCCUUGUAAGACCAGCUCACAGGAUAUGAAGCUGGUGGGGCUUCAUAGCAAAACUGAGAGGUUUUAAAAGCAGAGUCAGUGUCAUAGCUGCCUGCAAAUGUGCAAAAUGACUGUAAGGGAGGCAGCUACAGGUGUCCUGUUCUCAAAGGUAUUCCCCGGAUUGGGGCUGCCCCUACAGGCGUUGCAGGCAUGGCUUCUGUGCUGUGCUUGUGUCAGUAGGUGGCACAGAGAAGCAGGCUAGGUCUACGCUCAGUGCUUUGAUGGGUGAGCACUCAGAAUGAUUACUAGCCUGACAAAACUGCAAUUUUCUUUUCAUCCUUUGAGGGGGUUCUAGUGGCUGAUAUUAUUUAAGUCUGGAUUCGAUACUAGGAAAGGACUAAGUUUGUAAACUAUCUGAGGGUGCUAAGUUCAGCUUUUUCUUAGAUGAACGAGAACACUGCCAUUUCUAAUACUUUACUGCUCUUAACUUUAGAAAAUGCAGGUCAACCUUAAAGAGUGUCAGGUUUUUGUUCAUACACGAUGUUAGGGAUUUUGGAAAAGCAUGUUUUUGUUGAAUCAUUGGCACAGUGAAAUUAACUAAGCCACUUUGUUUAUAGGGACAUGAUGCUGGCUCUUCAACACAUGUUUAGAAUGAGCUCUGAAAGGCAUUGGCCAAAGUAAAGAUGCUUUGUCCUGAACUUUACAAAGGAGCUGAGAGGCCAUGAUGUCCAACUCCCAACCAAGCAGAUGGAGCAUCAUGGGUGCAAGUGGCGGGAAUGAGAUGAGAUUUAGUUCUCAGAAGUUUCCAAGGUGUCUGGCUCCAUUCUUCCUUCAGGGACCUUCCUCUUCAGUUUCACUUCAGCGAGGCUCCAAUUCAGCAUCUCUUUGGGUCACCUGGGUUCUUCAGCCUCCAUAUGCACUUUUGAAGAAUUGUCGCUUGGGAAAUGUGAUUUUGAGUGAGCCAGGUUCUGAGCCUCCUUGAAGAGCGCUGGCUUGGUUUGUGUUCUUUAAGCUCCUUUGUCAGCUGAGCUUAGUGGAGGGUAUUCAGGUAAUCCUCGAGUUAAGAAUGUGAUAGAGCCUGCCAAUUACAUUGGUAACACAAACAUUCAUUUGUUUGAAUCACGUUAAAUGAAUGUGAUUGUCAGCCUUCAAGAUCUUCCUUUCCUUUGCUUCUUUCUGGCUGCCAUGAGUAAGGGGGUGUGUGGAAGGGGGAGAUGUAUGGGACGUGAGCUGAAAGUGUUACUAACUGAUAUUGUAUAAACUGGGGAGGGUUUCUCAUUCCUGCUUAGCUUUCUCUUCUCUGCGCAAUU